AACAAUAUAUAUAUGAAUAUAUAUAUAAUUGUGGAUACAACAUUUCGGGCAUUGCCCAACUUCAGGUAUCACUAAUUGAACAGUAAAUCCGUAAACGAAAACAUUCUGCUGGAUAUUGAGAUAUAGAUUGGAGUAGAGUGUUAGUUCAAAUAGUAAAUGAGUAUUGAAUAAGAGUUAUCGCAUUUGUUUUGUUAUUUAGUUGCUUGGUGAGUUACGUGUUUGAUUAUUCAACAAAACUAGUAGUUAAGUUAGGCGUGCGUCUCGCAGUUUAUAUUGAAGCAUAGAAUUUUAGGGCAAACCUACACUGAUUAAGUUGUGGAGUUAGCAUUCAAACGUUUGUGUAGUUAGAUCUAUAACUUGGUAGUGAACAUGGCUCUAUAAACAUAACAAACAAUAAGAAGGAAUAGACUAAUUUGCUAUUUAUACGUGGACUGGACACAUUAUAACUACUAAUAAUAUUCCAGUUGUUUUGAGGAUCUUCAUGUAUUACAAAAUGACUUGGAGUAAUUGGUAUGAUGAAGAAAUACUUGGGUUACUAACUUAUGGAAUGAGUUUGUGUCAGCAGUAGCAGAGGCCAGCAAUUUACAGGAGUUUAAGAGGGAAGUCAAUGAUUUCCUGAGAAGCAAAAACCAUGACUCACUCUUCCUCUUUGUAAUGUUGACUGGCAGUGGGAAGAUUAGAACAAUAAGAAUACGCAGAAGAGAAAAGUAAUAUUGGAGUUCAACCAGUCCUUGGAGUGCACCUGAUGUUAUAUGGGAUAAAAUAAUAAAAAAAAACAGUUUUACAUUAAAUUGUUAUUUAUUUGUACUGAAUAACCUGUACUGAAUUUUUACUAAAGUGAAAAUGCAGUAAUGGGUAAAAAAUUUCUUAGGAUUCAAAGAGAGGUAUGCUGGGGUUCAAAUAAAACAUCCCAUAUAUGGACCAUAUGAAUUAUUUUGGUUUGCAUUGAACAAAAAACAAAAACAACGUAUGUUAAUGUAAAAUAAACAAGGAAUGUUGUUUCAAAGUAUUUUAAUACUGCAUGUAAAUAAAAGUAGUUGCUGGCAUUGAUAUUGUCCAUGAACUCCAAUGGUUCAUUAAAAUAGAACAAUUUAAAAGGAAGGAACUGAGUCAGCUGUGGACCACAUUAAACAGAACAAUGUUUUGUAGUCUGCAAAAGUGGUGGCAUGCAAAAAGGUUCAGUCCUCAUUUUUACAUUUUGGUAUGCAUGCUCACUGAUGGAUCACUUAUUUGAAGCCCUAAGUAUAUUGAUUUCAAGCACAUUUUUUCAAUUUCAGUUAACAUUUGAAAAAUGCCAUUAUCAUUAUCUUAGUUAAAAAUCAUUUUAGAUUAUUUUGUAAUUUAUUGUAAAGCAGAAAUUUCAUGUAACUGGAUAACUAUUCCAAAAAUCAAAAUAUAAUGUUGAGUUUUAUUAAUACUCUUCUUUCAUUUAGUCAGUAAUUAACAGUAUUCAAAUAAAAAAGGACAUUAUGUUCAGUAAUCACCCUAAUGUUUAAGUCAGAAUACUUUUACUUUUUUUUGGAACUGGUGAUCUUGUGUACCUUAUAGCAAGAUAAAAUGAACUUGGAAAAAUAAAGACAGAUCACUUGCAAAACUUGGAAAAUUUGUGUGUUUUUCACACUAACAUUAUGUAAAAUUAUGAGAACUCAGACACACUGAAAUAAGGUGUGUAGAAAUUGGUAAUUUAAGGCAAUAGAGAGAAAAAUAAAUUAAAACUAUUAUUCUUCCCAUUAUGAAAGUGUGUAUAAAAUCAUUAUUACAUUGUUUUUGGUGAAUUUCUAAUCACUUGUGGUAAUUUAUAGAUUUUGAUGUAAUACUGAUGAGAUCAAAUUAUUCACUUUGUUAAAAUUAAUCAAUUAUGUAUAUGUUUACUCUGUGUAUUGAGCCAGAUUUGAAAUGGUGUUAAAGGUGGAACAGUCAACAGGUUCAACUCAGCAUUGGGGAAAUAGUUACUGGAGGACUCAAAGGGUGUUUUAGAACAUUACCUUCUUCUUUGCUUGUACUGGAACGUGGUUCCUCAGAAGAAAGUCCAGUAUUGUUGCUCCGAAGAUCUGAUCCAACUCCAGAAGAAGACCACAGUAAUCUAGAAUGUACAAGAAGUUUGCUGUAGAAACUCCUUUGGUAAAUAAAGGUGAAGGAAAACAGGGAGUUCUCGGUUAGCAGUUUGAACAACAGUAUAGUUUGUGAAGAGAUCCAGAUUGGUAGUGAAACAUGCUAAGGACUUUAAGAAAGAAAAUUGAAUAUUUUUAUGAGAUGAAAAGCAAUAAGUCUGCUCCAAGUCGGCCAGACACAACAGGCAGUUGUAGAGUGCCUCCAAGCAUCACAAAGUGUAAUUACCAAGAUAUGGACUCAUUUUCAGACCAUCAAGACUGUCCAUAAUCUAUUCGCCAGGAUAGGCUAGACACAACUGGCGGGCUUCAGUUUAGUCCAACAACAUGACAGUAAGGAAACAAUCAGAAACAGCUUCAUAGAGACACAUACCCAACUGUGGAAGUUACUUUAACCCAAAACGCCUAUCUUCAGUCGCUUUAAUAACACAUGGAUUAGUCAAACGACACGUGGGAGAAUAUCUUGUUCACAAAUAAAUCCUCUCACAAUUCGGUCAGAUAUAAUGUGUAUAUUCAUUUGAAAUGACACAUCCAAAUUCAGUUUCCCGGAUGAAAAAUUUGUGUAUGGUGUCAGUGGUAUAUUAGUGAACACACUGAUCUGUAUGUGACACGAUACAGGGAUACAAUAUUACAACCAUUAAUGAUGCCUAUAAAGGUGCAACUUAGUCAGGACUUUCGUUUAAUGGAUGGUAACGAACUCUCCCUCUGUAGUCAGCUGGUUAGCAAUUUCUUGGAAAAAGAGGGUAUGGAGACAAUGAACAGCUAGUACAGUCACCAAACUUGAAUCAGAUUGAACUAGCAUUGAGCAUUAUAGUUGAGGUGGUUGUUCUUUCUUGUAUUUGUACCUAACAUUUUAUUUGAAAUGGGUGGUCUUUCUUGUAUUUGUAAUGAACAUUGUAUUUGAAAUGGGUGGUCUUUCUUGUAUUUGUACUGAAAAUUGUAUUUGAGAUGGGUGGUCUUGUAUUUGUAUUGAAAAUUGUAUUUGAGGUGGGUGGUUUUUCUUGUAUUUGUAUUGAACAUUAUAUUUGAGAUGAGUGGUCUUUCUUGUAUUUGUAUUGAACAUUGUAUUUGAUGUGGGUGGUUCUUCUUGUAUUUGUAUUGAACACUGUAUUUGAAGUUGGUGGUUUUUCUUGUAUUUGUAUUGAACAUUGUAUUUGAAGUGGGUGGUUUUUCUUCUAUUUGUAUUGAACAUUGUAUUUGAGGUCAGUGCUUUUCCUUCUAUUUGUAUUGAAAAUUAUUUUUGAGGUGGGCAUUUUUUGUAUUUGUAUUGAACAUUGUAUUUGAGGUGGGUGUUUUUUCUCGUAUUAGUAUUGAGCAUUAUAGUUGAGGUGGGUGGUUUUUUUUAUUUGUAUUAAACAUUGUAUUUGAAAUGAGUGGACUUUCUUAUAUUUGUAUUGAACAUUGUAUUUGAGAUGGGUGGUUUGUCUUGUAUUUAUGUAGAACAUUGUAUUUGAGUAGGGUGUUUUUUCUCGUAUCUGUAUUGAACAUUAUAGUUGAGGUGGAUGAUUUUUCUUGUAUUUGUAUGGAACAUUAUAGUGGACAUGGAUGGUUUUUAUUGUAUUUGUAUUGAACAUUGUAUUUGAGGUGGGUUUUCUUUCUUGUAUUUGUAUUUAACAUUUUAUUUGAAAAGGUUGGUCUUUCUUGUAAUUGUAUUGAACUUUGUAUUUGAGGAGGGAGGUUUUUC